rnacentral:tRNA from 1 species
GGCCGGGUGGCGAAACGGUAUACGCAUCGCACUCAAAAUGCGACGUUCUCUGAACAUGAGAGUUCGAAUCUCUCCCCGGCUACCA